UUUUUAACUACAUAUAUGUACUUUGUAUAUGUAUAUUGUAAGUAUCUCUGCCUCUAUAGUCUGUAAUGCUCUGCCUCUCCUUUUGUCUCUCUGGUUUUUCUUUCCUUUUUCUGCAAAUCUUCUGAGAUCAGCAGCUACAGUUAAUUGUGAAUAUGGAUUUGAAGAAGGCCAAAGUAAAAGUGUAUUUUGGGAGAGUUUGAUGGAUAUGGAAAAAAAGCUUGCCUGGCUCCCUGAAUGCCAUCUAACAAGUUUUGCCAAAAAAGUGUUGGCAGUCUUCUUACUUGGCAUAAGGGGAGUCACGCAGGCUCAUCAUAUAUCUAUCUAUAUAUUUAAUCAAACCACACCAUUUUGUGCUCUUCAUCAUCUAAAUCACAAUCAGAUAGAUAUGUGGUGCCUUUCCCUUUUCAGCCUUAUCAUCCAAAACUAAUGUGUGUAAGCUUUUAUUUUUACUUUGUUAAUCUCUCUCUCUCUCUCUCCCCCUCUACAAUGUCACUCACUUUCAGGAUAAAAAAUUAAUUAAAUUUAAGUGGAAUAUGAGUA